GGAUCCAGACUUUGAUCCUGGCUCAGGAUGAACGCUAGCUUACAGGCUUAACACAUGCAAGACGAGGGGGAAACGACAUCGAAAGCUUGCUUUUGAUGGGCGUCGACCGGCGCACGGGUGAGUAACGCGUAUCCAACCUGCCCACCACUUGGGGAUAACCUUGCGAAAGUAAGACUAAUACCCAAUGACGUCUCUAGAAGACAUCUGAAAGAGAUUAAAGAUUUAUCGGUGAUGGAUGGGGAUGCGUCUGAUUAGCUUGUUGGCGGGGUAACGGCCCACCAAGGCAACGAUCAGUAGGGGUUCUGAGAGGAAGGUCCCCCACAUUGGAACUGAGACACGGUCCAAACUCCUACGGGAGGCAGCAGUGAGGAAUAUUGGUCAAUGGACGAGAGUCUGAACCAGCCAAGUAGCGUGCAGGAUGACGGCCCUAUGGGUUGUAAACUGCUUUUAUAAGGGAAUAAAGUGAGUCUCGUGAGACUUUUUGCAUGUACCUUAUGAAUAAGGACCGGCUAAUUCCGUGCCAGCAGCCGCGGUAAUACGGAAGGUCCGGGCGUUAUCCGGAUUUAUUGGGUUUAAAGGGAGCGUAGGCCGGAGAUUAAGCGUGUUGUGAAAUGUAGACGCUCAACGUCUGCACUGCAGCGCGAACUGGUUUCCUUGAGUACGCACAAAGUGGGCGGAAUUCGUGGUGUAGCGGUGAAAUGCUUAGAUAUCACGAAGAACUCCGAUUGCGAAGGCAGCUCACUGGGGCGCAACUGACGCUGAAGCUCGAAAGUGCGGGUAUCGAACAGGAUUAGAUACCCUGGUAGUCCGCACGGUAAACGAUGGGAUGCCCGCUGUUGGUCUGAAUAGGUCAGCGGCCAAGCGAAAGCAUUAAGCAUCCCACCUUGGGGAGUACGCCGGCAACGGUGAAACUCAAAUGAAUUGACGG
rnacentral:rRNA from 1 species